ACCAGUGGAAGUACAAAGAUGAACAAACCAUACUCCUCCCCUCAAGACAACUCUUUCAUGAGGGAGAUAACCCAGGAAAUAGGAGUCUAUUCAUGAGACCGCUGCUCUAACUAGAAGAAUAGGAAGUACCAGAAGGUCACAAAAGAGGAGCUGAUUAGCUCAACCUAAGAAAGUCUCCCAAAGCUUCACAGAGGAAGGAAUGCUGAAGUGGGGAUGAAGAGGAGUUGAUCAGAAAAAAACAGAUGACCAGAGCUGGGUUGGAUGGCUAAUGCAGGAAUGACAUGCCAACAUUUGCAAGAGGUGGAAUGUGCUGUUACAUUGAAGUACAAAGAGCAGUAAGAUGAAAUUUGAUAGGAACCAACAUGCAGGAGGUUCAAAAAGAAACAGCACAAGUAAUGAGUGGAAGAUGUGAUUUAAGAGGAAUUAUGAAAAAGCUCAGAGAUUUUAACUGACGCAAACGUAAUCUGAGUCAACAGCCCAGCUUUGCCACUAAACUCUGAGACCCUCUGCAAAACAAGCAAGCGGAUAAACCCAAACUGUAACCAAACCAAAACAGAAAUCUCAAUACAAGGUUAGGUUUCUGUAGUGGUGUAAU
rnacentral:lncRNA from 1 species